GAUGAAGAACGUAGCGAAAUGCGAUAAGUAAUGUGAAUUGCAGAAUUCAGUGAAUCAUCGAAUCUUUGAACGCACAUUGCGCCCGCCAGUAUUCUGGCGGGCAUGCCUGUUCGAGCGUCAUUUCAACCCUCAUGCCCCUAGGGCGUGGUGUUGGGGAUCGGCCAAAGCCCGCGAGGGACGGCCGGCCCCUAAAUCUAGUGGCGGACCCGUCGUGGCCUCCUCUGCGAAGUAGUGAUAUUCCGCAUCGGAGAGCGAUGAGCCCCUGCCGUUAAACCCCCAACUUUCCAAGGUUGACCCCAGAUCAGGUAGGAAUACCCGCUGAACUUAAGCAUAUCAAUAAGCGGAGGA
rnacentral:misc_RNA from 1 species